CUGGGAUGGACCUGCGGUGCAUUAGCUAGUUGGUAAGGUAACGGCUUACCAAGGCGAUGAUGCAUAGCCGAGUUGAGAGACUGAUCGGCCACAAUGGAACUGAGACACGGUCCAUACUCCUACGGGAGGCAGCAGUAGGGAAUCUUCCACAAUGGGCGCAAGCCUGAUGGAGCAACACCGCGUGAGUGAAGAAGGGUUUCGGCUCGUAAAGCUCUGUUGUUGGAGAAGAACGUGCGUGAGAGUAACUGUUCACGCAGUGACGGUAUCCAACCAGAAAGUCACGGCUAACUACGUGCCAGCAGCCGCGGUAAUACGUAGGUGGCAAGCGUUAUCCGGAUUUAUUGGGCGUAAAGCGAGCGCAGGCGGUUGCUUAGGUCUGAUGUGAAAGCCUUCGGCUUAACCGAAGAAGUGCAUCGGAAACCGGGCGACUUGAGUGCAGAAGAGGACAGUGGAACUCCAUGUGUAGCGGUGGAAUGCGUAGAUAUAUGGAAGAACACCAGUGGCGAAGGCGGCUGUCUGGUCUGCAACUGACGCUGAGGCUCGAAAGCAUGGGUAGCGAACAGGAUUAGAUACCCUGGUAGUCCAUGCCGUAAACGAUGAGUGCUAGGUGUUGGAGGGUUUCCGCCCUUCA
rnacentral:rRNA from 1 species